GGGUUGGAGCACUCGAAGUUUGACCAAUGAUUAUACGUCCACUGGCAAUUUCCUCUUUGUCAGCGGAGUUUUCAAUCUGUUUCUGAGCUUCAAAGAAGAACAUCACAUCUCUAAGCUGCUCUCCACCUACCAAACUCAUCCUCGUCUUAUACACCUUGAAAUACUGUCGCAGAAUUAGGAGUUGGCUUAUACUGGAACAAUUUUAUAUUCUGGGAACCACAAACCAUGUCUGCGAGGAACACGUUUUACACCAGCCAGAACAACAACGCUUCGAAAGAUUUAAUCCCCAUGAAAAAAAUGUGACUGUCAGCUAAGGGUUCCGGAGUCUGUGCGUAGCGACAGACUGGACACGAGGUAUCACCCCAUUUGACCAAGCAGCUGGAGUGAAAAGCGUGGUUGCAUAAUAUGGUCAAAAUUCCAUCCACGCUUUCAUCCAUUCUUUCCAGGCAGACCGGACAAGAUGGUAGCUCUGUAUGACCUGCGAGUGGCAAACCGCCAUCUCCUACUUCAACCCGGGAGACGAACACCAUGUGACAGACAAUUUCAGGUUCUAAAGAAUUAUAUGGAGCUCCGUUAAAUGUCUCGUAAAACUCACUUGCUGCCACCUGAAAUAAUUAAUGAUAUUUGGGCACGAUAUAAUGUCUUGAUAAAACCUUUGAAUCAAAGAAAAACUUAUAACACAUAGAUCUUGAAAAAUGCAAAAUUUGUUCAAGGUUAAAACAUUGAAGAAAUUAUUCGUUUUAAUGAGAAUCAUUUUUUUUAAAUUCUACGCAAUCAAUUUUAAACAUCUUUAUAAGACUCAUGUUUCUCUUUUAAUUGCUAUAAGUGAAGAAAUUGUACUAUUUCUGCAAAUUGUUUGACCUAUUGAGAAUUACUUUAUAAGUAAGUAGAUGUUCUAGCAUUUAUCUAGACCCUGAGUUACGCUUUAACUAAGUUACGCCGUACUAUUUACGCUUUAAUAUUGAUAUAGCACCUUUUAAAAUGUUAAUAUGUCAGAGUAUUUUGUACUAAUAUUUUUUCACUUGAAACUAGUAGUCUAAUAAAGACGAAAAAUUUGUUAUAAUGUGGACAAAAUAAAGUUCUAUCAAAUGCAAAAUACUAACAGCUGAUCGGAAUGUCAGCAAAGCCAUGUAUUGAUUGGGACUACCAUCUCUGAUAAUCCUAAAGUGUUGAAUGUCCUGGUGACAGGCAGCAGUAAAUGUAAGCAGAUCAUGGCACGUCAUUGUU